UACAGAGGGUGCAAGCGUUAAUCGGAGUUACUGGGCGUAAAGGGCGCGUAGGCGGUUUGUUAAGUGAGUUGUGAAAGCCCUGGGCUUAACCUGGGAAUGGCAACUUAAACUGGCGAGCUAGAGUACUGUAGAGGGUAGUGGAAUUUCCGGUGUAGCGGUGAAAUGCGUAGAGAUCGGAAGGAACACCAGUGGCGAAGGCGGCUACCUGGACAGAUACUGACGCUGAGGCGCGAGAGCGUGGGGAGCAACAGG
rnacentral:rRNA from 1 species